rnacentral:rRNA from 1 species
AAGUUAGGGGGAGAAUCCCAGGGCUAACCCUNGGAACUGCCUCUAAAACUGCUAGUCUUGAGUUCGAGAGAGGUGAGUGGAAUUCCAAGUGUAGAGGUGAAAUUCGUAGAUAUUUGGAGGAACACCAGUGGCGAAGGCGGCUCACUGGCUCGAUACUGAC